GUUUCGUACAGUUCAAAUUCAGGAGCUCCAUACUCGUAGACGAAGUCGAUUUUACCAGGGUUUCCGUCGAAGCGUUGGGGCUACACGUUACCACCGUUGUUCAUAUUUUGUUACAGUAAAUACCUCUUAACUAUGUUCGAGGGGAUUAAAGUAAUCUUCCAGCAAUCUGUGUCCCAAGGAGAAGUCAUCUUGUUCAUGGGAGUGCUGGCGCCCAUAGUUUUGGUGUACGUUGGUGUUUUCCUCUAUCUGAUCUUCAGCAUCGUUUACAAUGCAUGUCGUAAAAAACUAAAGUCCAGGAAAAUGAAGAACUUACUAGGAAGGACUUGCCACAGUGACCUCUUGAUUCGGGCAGACUCUCUAGACUUCGUCAAAACAUACACGACGCCUAAACUGCACCGCAAAGUGCGUGGCUCUGCGCAGAUUGCGUUAGUAGAUGUCAUAAAGG